UUAAGAAUUCAACGGAACCUUCCCCCACCGCGCCGGCGACUGCGGGUAGCUUGGAAAAUUAGAAACGUCAAGUCAGAUGCAUUCACAUUAUUACCGACAAUAAGUUAGUCUUUAUAAUCAUAUGUUCAAUCAUUGGUAAAAGUUUGUAUAUACGUUAUCUAAAAUUAAUUAAAGUUAAUUUAAGAAGAAAUGCUACAUUUUUAUUGAAGUCAACCUCCCAAACAGAAGGUUUUAAAAAAUAGUAAUAGC